CUGUGCCUUGUAUGGGUUUUUGUCCAUGGACCCAUAGACCACCACGAGCCGCUGGCAAUACAAUCGCCCGCGGCUGGGCCCUGCAAUUAUGCUAAAUAGAUGCUUUGAUAGCUUCAUUGGGCAGGGCCAUUCAGGUAUAAAUAAGAACAAGACAAGCCAAAUGGAUCUGUUUAGAUUCUGGGUACUGCUGUUGUGUCAGACUAAAUUGUUCAAAUAAAUUAAGUUGUAGCUUUCGAAAAACAACAACAACAACAACAACGAUCAAGAACAAAAACGUAGAGACACAGACAUCGGAUAGUGGAAUUGCCUGGGUUUGGUGUGGGGAUUGGGGCAAGCAAACAAGUUCGACCGGGACACAAAGAUCGGGGCCGUCGCCUCACAGAGGCCGCCGUCGCAUUGUCAUUUGAUAAAUUAUGAUAUUUGAUCAAUUGUUCAACAGUCGGGCCACUCAGUUAGAGAUGGAGCUGCAGUUGGAGUUGGAGUUGGAGUUGGAGUUGGAGCUGGAGCUGAAGAUGUCGGCUCUGUCUGCCUAAUGAAAUGGCUUUCUACGUGUGCUGGCUGCCCUCCCCCUGCUCCACCCCUCUGCAUUGGUCUGGGGGGACCCGCAUCAAGUUGCCGAUUGAACUUUUCUUGUAUUUACAUUGUAAUGGCAUCUGGCGAGCAAACACAUACACACACACCACGCACACCCAGUCGCAAGCAUUCCCAUUCAUCUGCAUAGCAGCAUAAUAGAAUUGGGACUCGAGACGAUGCAGACUCGACGAAGAUGCCUCUUUAUUGUGGCUAAUAGGCACUUGUGGCUUUGUUCUUCUGCCGCCGUUUGCACUCCAAGGCGCGCUCCACGUAACCGUCGCUCAGGUGGUGUCAUAGCCGCCGCCGCCGCCGCUGCCGCCGCCGCCUUGCCAUUGAAUGUGGAUGUGGCUGUGGAUUAAUGAAUGGCUGACACGCUGGACAUGCUCGUCAACAGGCCUCUAAUUAUGUGUAAAGGUGUGUAAGAUCCCCCAACUCCUCGUAAUUAGUUUUGUGCGCAGGAUUUGGCUCUGAUGUCGGCAUAUCUGAAGUUAAUCAAUCGUUGAAUGCUUCUGUGCAUUGCCAAGUCGAGAGGCAGCUACUGAAGACAAACUUUACUUUAAAAUGGUUUCGAAAUUUCUAAAAAAAAA